AUCUCCUGAGCCCUGAGAGAAGGUUAGCACUCUCCUUGAUAAGGAUGGAAGGGAUCCUUAUGACCUUACAUCAAACAAGUGGUUAAGGUAUUGCCAUUGAGUUCAUGACAUCAUAUCAUGCGUUUCG